CCCUUAGAUGUCCUGGGCCGCACGCGCGCUACACUGACAUGUUCAACAAGCCUCCUAGUUCGACAGGAUUUGGGAAAUCUUUGAACGCAUGUCGUGAUAGGGAUAGAUCAUUGCAAUUAUUGAUCUUGAACGAGGAAUUCCUAGUAAACGCGAGUCAUCAGCUCGCAUUGAUUACGUCCCUGCCCUUUGUACACACCGCCCGUCGCACCUACCGAUUGAAUGUUUCGGUGAAGAUUCCGGAUAGGACUUUUUUGAUUUAUUUCAAUUUUGUCUUAAAAGCUAUCUAAACCUCAACAUUUAGAGGAAGAUGAAGUCGUAACA
rnacentral:rRNA from 1 species